GGGGGCAGCCCUGGAGAAGGCCUGCAGGAUAGAACAGGAUAGUAACAGGUUGCUGGGGGAGUGAAGAAGCUAAUGAAAGAAAAGAGGAGGUAUAUGUGGGGGCACAGUUAUGGAAAGCAUUGUAGGUAAGCAUGAUCACCAAAUCCAAAUUAAACAGGAAGUCAGAGUAGAGGCUGACAGAGAGGUGAGGUGUGAGAGUAAGGUGUAUAAGUCCCUUACUGACACAAGAUGAUACCAAGGAGCUUGUCCAUGCUCUAGUAAUUUCCUGUGAGAAGUUGGCAGUACGGGUGCGAGCAGCGGACAGGAGAAGGUCAUGGGCAGAGCGGAGAGACUGAGAAGGGAUUAUUGUAACCCUCUCCUGAUUGGUCUUCUCAAAAGCCGUAUUGCCCCGCUACAGUCUGCAAUGAAUGCUGCCGCCAGACUGAUUUUCCUCUCUAGUCGGUCCUCUCACACCUUACCCCUUUGUCAGUCCUUACAAUAGCUUCUUCUAUCAUAUAUGAGUCAAUUCAAAGUGCUA